rnacentral:rRNA from 1 species
CCCUUAGAUGUUCUGGGCUGCACGCGCGCUACACUGACGUACGCAACGAGUGUCCUUUACCGAGAGGUAUGGGUAAUCAUUUGAGUGUACGUCGUGAUGGGGAUAGAAUAUUGUAAUUAUUACUCUUCAACGAGGAAUUCCUAGUAAGCGCAAGUCGGCAGCUUGCGCUGAUUACGUCCCUGCCCUUUGUACACACCGCCCGUCGCUCCUACCGAUGGGUGAUCCGGUGAAUGAUUCGGACUCGGUUGCCUCUAGCCACUAGUGGCGCUCGAGAAAGUUUUGUGAACCUUAUCACUUGGAGGAAGGAGAAGUCGUAACA